rnacentral:rRNA from 1 species
AUCCCAGUUCGGAUCGCAGGCUGCAACCCGCCUGCGUGAAGUUGGAAUCGCUAGUAAUCGCGGAUCAGCAAGCCGCGGUGAAUACGUUCCCGGGCCUUGUACACACCGCCCGUCACACCAUGAGAGUCGGGAACACCCGAAGUCCGUAGUCUAACCGCAAGGGGGGGCGCGGCCGAUGGUGGGUCCGGUAAUUGGGGUGAAGUCGUAACAAGGUAGC